rnacentral:rRNA from 1 species
GACGAACGCUGGCGGCGUGCUUAACACAUGCAAGUCGAACGGAAAGGCCCUGCUUUUGUUGGUUGCUCGAUUGGCGAACGGGUGAGUAACACGUGAGUAACCUGCCCUUGACUUUGGUAUAACUUCAGGAAACUGGGGCUAAUACCGGAUAUGAGCUCCUGCUGCAUGGUGGGGGUUGGAAAGUUUCGGCGGUUGGGGAUGGACUCGCGGCUUAUCAGCUUGUUUGUGGGGUAGUUGCUUUCCAAGGCUUUGACGGGUAGCCGGCCUGAGAGGGUUACCGGCCACAUUGGGACUGAGAGACGGCCCAGACUCCUACGGGAGGCAGCAGUGGGGAAUAUGGCACAAUGGGCGGAAGCCUGAUGCAGCAACGCCGCGUGCGGGAUGACGGCCUUCGGGUUGUAAACCGCUUUCGCAUGUGACGAAGAGUGAGUGACGGUAAUGGGUAAAGAAGCACCGGCUAACUACGUG